UCCCAUGUGGUCUAGCGGUUAGGAUUCGUGGCUUUCACCCACGCGGCCCGGGUUCGAUUCCCGGCAUGGCAA
rnacentral:tRNA from 1 species